rnacentral:lncRNA from 1 species
UUGAUUUGCAUAACACAUAUUCAAGAUAAAGUUGUGUAGUGACCACCACCAUAACCAAAAAGCCGUAAAUCCCCUAUGUCAUUAUGUUUUGUACGUUUUAAUCCCGUUUAGCUUUGUGAGCCUUUUCUUUGUAACCCACAUUACCCUCACCUAGCUUAGAUUAGGACCAUCCAUUAACCUUGUUCUUAAAGCGUAGUAAAGCAUGAUUCAAAUUGAAUUCCUUUGUGGCAGAAAACAAGUGUGGGGGAAGUGUUUUUCAUAAGGAAUUAUGUGCCAUAGGCGCGGGUAAAAAGAAAGAAAAAAGAAAAGAAAAAUGUGAAAAGAAUGCGAAAAGAGUUGAAAAGAAGUGAAAAAGAGUUCUAAAGUGUUGUUUGAUGAAGAAGGGGUCCAAAACAAUGAAUUCGACCCUAAGGAGUUGUUUAAAUCUUCCCCUUGUGUUUUAAAGCUAAUUGCUGCAAUCUAAGUAAAUUCUAAGUCUCAAUUUCAUUACUUUGCUUACUAUCACUUUAAGAACGUUUGUUUUCC